GGGCCUGUCUGCUUCAAGUCACUGGGGGAAUACUGAUGGGAAAAGUUGCAAGAUAUCAUUUCAGUGGUGUAUCAAGACACUUAGAAAAACUGACCAAAAGAACAUCAAGGAACAAUGGCAUAAAAACAGGACGUCAAAGACCUCGUAAUCCCCAUUCUGGGAGGUUGAGCAUCAAGCCUAAGAACCCCUGAGAAAAGUUCCAUGGCCACAGGAUUACACUGUCCCUUUCUUAGAUCAAGAAAGUGAAGUUCAGAAAGGGGACAUGUCUUGUCCAAACCUACACUGAGAGCAACUGGUGGUGCCAGGAUUCAAAAUCAGGCACACUGACAGCAAACUCAGAAGUCUUUUCACCUCCUCAUACUAAAGGAGUUUAUUCAUUAUUCUGAAUCCUUAGAUAAAAAUAUAUGAUCAUUUGUGGA